rnacentral:lncRNA from 1 species
AUAACUAUUUAGUAGUUACCAUGUAAUUUUUCUGCAGAAAAAAAUGGAGCCCUAUUUUAUGAUCUUUAAGAGGAGGGCCAAGUGGAAGAAUUUUGGUAGAUGGUUUACUUUUCCUGUUUUUUAUUUUAUCAUGUACUAUUCUGUAAUGAAUAAAAGGAUCUAGAUUUGACCGGUCUGUUGUCAGCUUUUGGUAUCGUGUCUAGUCAAAAUUAGAAGACAAUUAGCAAAAUUUUAAAAAAAAAUGGAAAGUGCUAUUAACAACAUGAACACAAAGUCACGGAAACAUCGUUUGUUUUUUUAUUAAACCCCCAAUACAUACUAAGGUUAUUCAUAUAUUCUUGAACAGUAUUAACAAUCGUCACGAGCUCACUUGGCAAUAUAUGUCAAUCAAGAAGCCAUUGAGAAGGCAAUACAUGCAUCUAAGCUUGUGCAAACAGAUUGCACUUUGAAAUGCAACUGUUUGAAUGACAGGCACACAAGUAAAUGCUAAUAUAAAGACUCAGUAGAUACUAGACAGUUACCAUUUUUCACUAAUUUGUUAUAUGCUUUGUACAAAUAUACUCCUACAAAUUGCAUCCAGUUAUAUAAUAUGAGUGAUAAUUCAUUAAAAUUUAGGUUGUUUAUUUUGUAAGGUCAACAAAUAGUUAUUUUAUCCUGAAAAAAUUACUGGUUGGACUAACUCUGUUGAUAAAUUUUGACAUGCUUCUACAGGUGGAUGUGUUGGCCCUACGAGUGUCUGCAAUUGAAAUGGCAGAGGUAUAUCUACAUUUUUAUUUCUAAUUUUUUGGCUAGAAAUUAGCUCAUUUGAUCCACCUAAGAAAUAUUAGUUUGAUAUUUUUUCUUCAGGUAAUUCACUAUUAUCCCUCCCCAUGAUUUGGAGAAGUAAAAUGGACUUUGGUAAACCCUUUUUUCACUGAAAACUUGGCAAGUUCCCUUUCUCUCUCUCUAGCACAGAUUAGAUUAAGAUCAGAUAUUCAACAAUGGCGAAAGAACCAGCUCGAGUUCUUGUUACUGGUGCUGCAGGUAAAAUACAUACAUACGCACAUAAAUCGUUAAGGAUAUGCUCUAUGAUCAUUUUCAGAUCUGUUAUUAUAUUCACCGAUUAUAUUUAAAGGUUGAUCAAAUAUGUAGGAAUCGUCAAUUAAUAUAGUUUUUUUAUAUAUAUAUAUAUUCUGCCGUUUAUCCUUUUCUAUUUUAGAUUUAUGGAUGAACUGAAAUUUUAGUGAUCUAAUGAGUCUUAUUAUUUACUGGUUCGGUUAGAUUAGAUGUUAGAUUAGUCUUUUGAUCAAGUUUAGUUUUUGUUUAGAUUGAAUUAGAUUUGUAAGGGUUUUAAGUAAUCUUUUUUUAACAUUUUGUCUGCUUGCUAGUUGUAGUGAAUGAUAUGAGCAGGGUUGCUGUGUACAUCUAUAUCAUAUAUAUGUGAUAAACAUGGAUUCUUUCACUGUGGAGUCUAAAAGUUUAGUUACUUCAUAGUUUAUGUUAGGUACUUCCUUGUAAUUGUAUGCUAUUUUGAGACUUUUCAAUUCAAGUGUGCAACCAGUAAUAUGUAAGUUCGAGAAGAGCAAUAGAAUCAUGUAGAAUGCUGUGACAGUGACAUCGCAAGGCCAUGGAUGAUUUGUACAACCUCGCCCCUCUUCAUAUUGUCCAUUUGGGAUUCUCAGCGGCAGAGUGGUCCACUAUUAAACUGGCCACAAGCUUAUAGUAGUCUGUUUAAACCCAUCUUUUUUAGUUUUUUAUUUUGUUGAUAGGAAGAUUGGCCACAAGCAUUAUGUUAUUUUCAGUUUUUUGAAAGUUCAAUUGAGUCACCAGAAUUUGUACGUGUGCACUCAUCUAAGAUAAUGAAUUUAUAUCAUUGCAGUAUGGUGGCAGCUUUUGGUUCUGGAGCCAUGUUUUCAUUGGUGAGUGGAUUUGGUGGUCCUAAUCAGGCUGCGAAUGUAGUUACAUCUGCCCUGUAACUAUGCUUAUGAGUUCAUAUCAUGUGACACAAUCACCAUUCUUUAAGCACUCGUUUGUAGUCAUACGUUUGGAUGUAAUCAAAUUCACAAUUCAAUAUAGUAAUAAUUUAUAUUGAAAAGUGAAUUUGAGAUGUAUAUAUGGAUAGUUUGGUAUAUAUUUUGUGGAUGUAGUAAUUUGAAACUGUAAACGAAUGAUAUUAUUGAGAUGUAUUUUAAAUGGUUGAUACAUUUUGGCUUUAAAUUUAAAUGAGAAUGUAGACCUUUUUAGCUAUAUAUUAUGGCAUUAGCAGAUUGCAGGUGCACUGGUAAUAUAGGUAAAUCACAC